CCUACGGGAGGCAGCAGUGGGGAAUAUUGCGCAAUGGGCGAAAGCCUGACGCAGCGACGCCGCGUGAGGGAUGAAGGUCUUCGGAUCGUAAACCUCUGUUAGCAGGGAAGAACGGUCACUGUGCUAAUCAGCAGUGAAUUGACGGUAUCUGCAAAGGAAGCACCGGCUAACUCCGUGCCAGCAGCCGCGGUAAUACGGAGGGUGCGAGAGUUAAUCGGAAUUACUGGGCGUAAAGGGCUCGUAGGCGGUAUGUCAAGUCAAGGGUGAAAUCCCCGCGCUCAACGUGGGAACUGCCUUUGAAACUGGCAGACUGGAGUGUGGGAGAGGAUGGUGGAAUUCCUGGUGUAGCAGUGAAAUCCGUAGAUAUCUGGAAGAACAUCGGUGGCGAAGGCGACUAUCUGGCCUGCAACUGACGCUGAAGCACGAAAGCGUGGGUAUCGAACAGGAUUAGAUACCCUGGUAGUC
rnacentral:rRNA from 1 species